AGGUUAAUGGACAUGCAUCUCAGUUAAUCUGAUUGAUUGCUUUUAGCCUUGAGAAGAGGGUCAACAAAAAAGUUAUGGCAAUGUUCGAGAAAGAUGAAGAUGAAUACAAUGACUUAUUAUCCAAGAAAAACAUCAUUGAGAAUGAUAAGUCAAAAAUCAAGAAGGUGAUGGAAGAGCUUAAUGAAAAGAAGAAGGAAACACUAAAAGUUACUUGGGUUAAAGUGAACAAGCUGACAAACUAAAGAAGUCAGUGGAGGAUGAAAUUCAUUUUCUCAAGGGAAGGGUUUCAGAACUUGAAAGUGAUCUUGUGUCGAAGUCCGCAGAAGUUACAUCUGCAGUUUCAAUGAAAGAAGAAGUUGUAUCUUCUGCAUUUGUUGAAAUUGACCUUCUAAAGGAAGAAAAUUCUGAAAACUGUGAGCAUUAUUGAAUGCAUAUUGAGGGUGUUUACUGUGUUGGAGUGUAUUUGUUUCUUGUACAAGAGGGCACGCCUUAGUUGUAAUUCUUAUGAUAGGUUGAGCAAAGUGAAGUAUUGUUUAUUUAGAAAUGUGAAUGUAGGAUGCAUUGUAUGAUUUGAUUGCUAUUUGUAAUAAAUGCAUCGUUUCAUUUUUUUUUUA